AUUGGCUUAACUGAUUAAUUUUCACCUUACCUUUCAGACUUUGAAGUGAGUCCUGCAUUGGUGCAAUGGCUGACCAGUUUGUAGAACACCUUUGAUCAUGAACCCAGAGAGGAAGCAAAAGAUUUUUAUUUGGAAGAUCUUCAUAAAAGCCCCAGUCUUAAUUAGGAUAUGGAUCUAUAAUAUUCCUCUCUACUCUUUAAGCAGCUGAGAGAAAUCGGUAAGGCAAGCGUCAGCCUUUCAAACUGGAUCCUAUAGACCAUUUGCAUGAGAAUCCCUUGUAUAAGUGAUGAAAUGCAGAUUUCUGGACCACUCCAGAAAAUUAAGCUAAGCUUAACCUAUCUGGGCAUGGGGUCUCAGAAUCUCUAAAAUUUCUCCUUUCUUUUACACACUAAAAUCUGAGUAUAACAGGGCACAGGAAGUCAUUACAGUAAGCCUCCUAAUAAAAAAGUAGAAUAUGAGAAAAGUCUUGAAAAU
rnacentral:lncRNA from 12 species